AGCUCCACGGGAUCGACGCCUCGGGUGACGAGAAGAUAGUCGCGUAGCGCAAUGCUGUGCCGACCCUC
rnacentral:sRNA from 1 species